CCUCGGCUGACCGUUUAUCGGGCGCCACGUGGCAACACCUCAGCGCGCGUAUCCCCUCCCUCAUGCGCGUCCGUACGCGCGCGUGGCCGUGCGCGUGUAGCACCUUCCCCAGGCGCGUGAUAGCGCGUGAGGGUUUAAAUGGGAAAAUUCAACAUUUGUGGACACUCUAUUGGUGUAGAAAUGCUCAACGAAGAACACGCGUCAAUCGGGUGUUCACUGGCUGCUGGUCGAGGUAGAGGAGCGUUUGAGAGUUGUACAGUCACAGAGGGGGUCGUUCCGGAGCGUCAGUCCCUUUUCGGUUUUUUAGAGUCUUUUGUAUUUC